UACGGAGGAUCCGAGCGUUAUCCGGAUUUAUUGGGUUUAAAGGGUGCGUAGGUGGUUUGAUAAGUCAGCGGUGAAGGUUUGCAGCUUAACUGUAAAAAUGCCGUUGAAACUGUCGUACUUGAGUGUAAAUGAGGUAGGCGGAAUGCGUGGUGUGGCGGUGAAAUGCAUAGAUAUCACGCAGAACUCCGAUUGCGAAGGCAGCUUACUAAACUACUACUGACGCUCAGGCACGAAGGCGUGGGGAUCAAACAGGAUUAGAUACCCUGGUA
rnacentral:rRNA from 1 species